rnacentral:rRNA from 1 species
GACGAACGCUGGCGGCGUGCUUAACACAUGCAAGUCGAACGGAAAGGCCCUGCUUUUGUGGGGUGCUCGAGUGGCGAACGGGUGAGUAACACGUGAGUAACCUGCCCUUGACUUUGGGAUAACUUCAGGAAACUGGGGCUAAUACCGGAUAGGAGCUCCUGCUGCACGGUGGGGGUUGGAAAGUGUCGGCGGUUGGGGAUGGACUCGCGGCUUAUCAGCUUGUUGGUGGGGUAGUGGCUUACCAAGGCUUUGACGGGUAGCCGGCCUGAGAGGGUGACCGGCCACAGUGGGACUGAGAUACGGCCGAGACUCCUACGGGAGGCAGCAGGGGGGAAUAUUGCACAAUGGGCGGAAGCGUGAUGCAGCAACGCCGCGUGCGGGAUGACGGCCUUCGGGAUGUAAACCGCUUUCGCCUGUGACGAAGCGUGUGUGACGGUAAUGGGUAAAGAAGCACCGGCUAACUACG